AUAUUGGACAAUGGGGGCAACCCUGAUCCAGCCAUGCCGCGUGUGCGAAGAAGGUCUUCGGAUGGUAAAGCACUUUAAUUUGGGAGGAAGGGCUUUAGGUUAAUACCCUGAAGUUUUGACGUUACCAACAGAAUAAGCCACGGCUAUCUCUGUGCCAGCAGCCGCGGUAAUACAGAGGGUGCAAGCUUUAAUCGGAAUUACUGGUCGUAAAGCGCGCGUAGGUGGUUCAGUAAGAUGGGUGUGAAAUCCCCGGGCUUAACCUGGGAACUGCUUUCAUAACUGCUGAGCUAGAGUAAGGUAGAGGGUAGUGGAAUUUCCUGUGUAGCGGUGAAAUGCGUAGAUAUAGGAAGGAACACCAGUGGCGAAGGCGACUACCUGGACUGAUACUGACACUGAGGUGCGAAAGCGUGGGGAGCAAAC
rnacentral:rRNA from 1 species